AAAAAAAAAAAGACCUUUAGAUGAUUUCCACAGCAACACUUAGCACUCUUUGGUCCAAAUGAGAGGUAAGUGCUGUGUUUGCCAAGCCGGGGGCUGUGGGGCUCCCCUCGGGCUGCUACACCUGUAGGUGCACUCCGUCAGUGUCACUCAGAGAUUUGGGGAAAUAGCGUUUUUACACUAAAACACCAGCAUAUUUUGGAAUAAAUUCUUACACAGUUUAAAACAGGAGUUUUUAAGACUGGACAUUCCUGCUUCCAUAUUUGGGUCUUCUCUCAACUACUCCUCUUCUGCCCUGCUGAGGAGGAGGCACUUUCAGAUGUAUUAUGUUAAUGGAGAGAAAAAGCAUAAUAUUGUAAAGACAGC
rnacentral:lncRNA from 1 species